GACGAACGCUGGCGGCGUGCUUAACACAUGCAAGUCGAACGGAAAGGCUCCCAUCUUGGUGGGGGUGCUCGAGUGGCGAACGGGUGAGUAACACGUGGGUGAUCUGCCCUGUACUUCGGGAUAAGCUUGGGAAACUGGGUCUAAUACCGGAUAGGACCAUGGUUUAGUGUCUCAUGGUGGAAAGAUUAUUGUUUUGGUGCAGGAUGAGCUCGCGGCCUAUCAGCUUGUUGGUGGGGUAAUGGCCUACCAAGGCGUCGACGGGUAGCCGGCCUGAGAGGGUGGACGGCCACAUUGGGACUGAGAUACGGCCCAGACUCCUACGGGAGGCAGCGGUGGGGAAUAUUGCACAAUGGGCGCAAGCCUGAUGCAGCGACGCCGCGUGAGGGAUGACGGCCUUCGGGUUGUAAACUCCUUUCGUUAGGGACGAAGCCGCACUUUUUUUGGGUGUGGUGACGGUACCUUUGUGAAGAAGCACCGGCUAACUACGUG
rnacentral:rRNA from 1 species